rnacentral:rRNA from 1 species
UGGGGAAUAUUGGGCAAUGGGCGAAAGCCUGACCCAGCGACGCCGCGUGGGGGAUGAAGGUCUUCGGAUUGUAAACCCCUGUCGGGAGGGACGAACGUUUCGCGCCUAAUAGGUGUGAAACUUGACGGUACCUCCAAAGGAAGCCCCGGCUAACUCCGUGCCAGCAGCCGCGGUAAUACGGAGGGGGCAAGCGUUAUUCGGAAUUACUGGGCGUAAAGCGCGCGCAGGUGGCUUGGUAAGUGGCAGGUGAAAUCCCUCGGCUCAACCGAGGAACUGCCUGCCAAACUGCUGAGCUUGAGGCUGGGAGGGGAGAGCGGAAUUCCUGGUGUAGCGGUGAAAUGCGUAGAUACCAGGAGGAACACCGGUGGCGAAGGCGGCUCUCUGGACCAGUUCUGACACUCAUGCGCGAAAGCGUGGGGAGCAAACAGG